rnacentral:rRNA from 1 species
CAACCUGCCCUUCAGAGGGGGACAACAGUUGGAAACGACUGCUAAUACCGCAUACGAUCUAAUCUCGGCAUCGAGGAAAGAUGAAAGGUGGCCUCUAUUUAUAAGCUAUCACUGAAGGAGGGGAUUGCGUCUGAUUAGCUAGUUGGAGGGGUAACGGCCCACCAAGGCGACGAUCCCUAGCUGGUCUGAGAGGAUGACCAGCCACACUGGAACUGAGACACGGUCCAGACUCCUACGGGAGGCAGCAUG